UGGAGCAUGAGCUUGUCCAGAGCUCACAGCAUCCCUCACAGCUGGGCUGAGCACCCUCAGGGCUUCAGGGACCUGAGGCAGAUCCUGCUGGUCACUGUCCACCUUCCCCCAGCCAAGCACACAGAGUUACUGCUCCUAACCUGGAGCUCUGCAAAGCCUGGGGUGCUUUUCCCUGACCUCGGCAGGGAAACAGGUGGGACAGCCCCGUGAUCUCCAUGUGCCUGGUGAUGGGAGAGACCUCCAAGCUCGGAGAAGGGCGCAGAGCCCCGGACUCAGCCCAGCGAGGCUCUGGGAGGUGAAGUCACUUCGCGGCUGAUGGAUAAAGCCACAAACCCCGCUGUUAGUCCCCAUAAAGGUGAGUUUGUCACAUUUCCAAGCGCUGUGGGCUCGGGUCCAAGCUCUAAUGGUUUCAUUGUUGUCGGGUUACAAUGGGCUGUGAUAAAAUCUCCAGCUCCACAGAGCAUUUCCUGGCAGGGGUUCAGAGCAGCCAGCACACCUCCAUGGGAGCUGUGGCACAGCACCAGUGGCCACCCACUGCCCCAGCAUCCAGGAUUCCUCCGGCAUUGCCAGGUUGGCAGUGAUGCCUCAGCCUCUGCUCUAGGUCAGCCUUCACAAGGCAUCAGCAGUAGCCACACAGCACCGAGGAUGGCAAAAUCUGUUCAUUAAUAACUUGUCCUGAGCCUCUGAGUGAAGGAUGAUGUGCUGCACUUGUAUAGAUACGGCUUUGCAAGGAAAAAACACAAAAUUACGACGUGAAAAGCAAAAUGCUCAAACAAAGCUUGUCGAUAGGUCACCACAACCUCUGGUAAUUCAGAUGUGAGAUAAACUUCUCUUGUUUACCCCAUCAGUUAUGUGUGUGGUCAAGGGCACGUGAUACUUUGUUAUUUUCUGUAAGCCAAACUGGGAGGAAAUCAUACUUUCAGAUUUUCAAUAAUACAAAUUUUCUAAAUUUGAUUUUCAGUAAUACAAAUUUUCUGCUUAAAUUCUUUAUUUUAGCAGAAAUUCCUUGAAAUAAGAUGGAAGCUGUUCUCUGAUGAAGAGCCUAAAGACAGGUUCCAAGUCCAAU
rnacentral:lncRNA from 1 species